AUCCCAUGAUGAGGACAGGCGUCGACAUACUCCUGCAGAUGCUCCCAAGCUUCUGGUAUGGAUUCCUCCUUCAUCUGCUAGAAGUUGGAAAUCCUCCCGUGAAGGGC
rnacentral:snoRNA from 1 species